AGGAAGAGAGUGCAGAAGUUAAGGGCCCAGGAUCGGGGCCAAAUGGCAUGUCUGAGACAAGAACCCAAGUGUCCUGAGGAAACGUGGACGCAGACAGAACCGGCUCUUGGUGACCAGAGACAGUCGAAGGUGAAAAGCUGAAUUUGAAGCAGUCCAACAGAGACACAGCUCUUUUCAAUGAAACAUACCUAUCCCUUCCUGUUGGGGCCCCGCCCGAUGCCUGUUCUGUCACCUCUCAACGGCUCUCAUCUAGAAGAACCUCAUAUUUCUCACCAAAGCCACAGCGUAAGGAGUCACUUUAGAGCCCUUCAGUACAUCUGGGAAGAUUAGAGCCUAUAAAAAAAAAAAAAAAAGGCUUGGGCACAAGCAAUUUAAAGCUCAAAGCUCUAAUCUGGAAUUGGUAUAUUUAUCCUGCUCUUCAAUUAUUAAUGUUGCUUUAUU